CUGGAGGUAUCAGAAGUGCGAAUGCUGACAUGAGUAACGAUAAGGGGAGUGAAAAACUCCCCCGCCGAAAGACCAAGGUUUCCUGUCCCAUGUUAAUCAGGGCAGGGUAAGUCGGCCCCUAAGGCGAGGCGGAAACGCGUAGUCGAUGGGAAACAGAUUAAUAUUUCUGUACUUCUAUAUAUUGCGAAGGAGGGACGGAGUAGGCUAGGUGAGCACGGCGUUGGUAGUCCGUGUGAAAGUAUGUAGGCGGUUAGUUUAGGUAAAUCCGGACUUUCCCUUUUAUUAGGAACGCUGAGAUACGAGACGAGAUUCUACGGAAUUGAAGUCAUUGAUGCCAUGCUUCCAGGAAAAGCUUCUAAGCUUCAGAUAUAUAGGAACCGUACCCCAAACCGACACAGGUGGUUAGGUAGAGAAUACUAAGGCGCUUGAGAGAACUCGGGUGAAGGAACUAGGCAAAAUAGUACCGUAACUUCGGGAGAAGGUACGCUCUCUAAUGUGAAUGACUUGCUCAGUAAGCAUCGGAGAGUCGAAGUAACCAGGUGGCUGGAACUGUUUAUUAAAAACACAGCACUGUGCAAAAUCGAAAGAUGACGUAUACGGUGUGACGCCUGCCCGGUGCCGGAAGGUUAAUUGAUUGGGUUAGCUCUGCGAAGCUCAUGAUCGAAGCCCCGGUAAACGGCGGCCGUAACUAUAACGGUCCUAAGGUAGCGAAAUUCCUUGUCGGGUAAGUUCCGACCUGCACGAAUGGCGUAAUCAUGGCCACACUGUCUCCACCCGAGACUCAGUGAAAUUGAAAUUGCGGUUAAGAUGCCGUAUACCCGCGGCUAGACGGAAAGACCCCGUGAACCUUUACUAUAGCUUGACAGUGAACAUUGCUCCUACAUGUGUAGGAUAGGUGGGAGGCUUUGAAACCGCGUCGCUAGAUGCGGUGGAGCCAACCUUGAAAUACCACCCUUGUAUGCGUGAUGUUCUAACCUAGGGCCCUUAUCGGGCUUGGGGACACUGUCUGGUGGGUAGUUUGACUGGGGCGGUCUCCUCCCAAAGAGUAACGGAGGAGCACGAAGGUUGGCUAAGUACGGUCGGACAUCGUACGGUUAGUGCAAUGGCAUAAGCCAGCUUAACUGCGAGACAGACACGUCGAGCAGGUACGAAAGUAGGUCAUAGUGAUCCGGUGGUUCUGUAUGGAAGGGCCAUCGCUCAACGGAUAAAAGGUACUCCGGGGAUAACAGGCUGAUACCGCCCAAGAGUUCAUAUCGACGGCGGUGUUUGGCAC
rnacentral:rRNA from 1 species